UCUAUGGCCAUACAGCCCUAAACACACAGGAUCUCUUCUGAUCCAUGAAGCCAAACAGGGCUGGGCCUGGUUAGUACUUGUAUGGGAGAAAAUGUGUGUGACUCCAGGUCAGUCUUUAGGA
rnacentral:rRNA from 1 species